ACAACAAGCAAGGGGAGCGGUAUCGCUGAGAGGUAAUGUUGAGAUACGUUACGACUCUGAACCUGAUUUGGAUAAUGCCAACGGAGGGAGAGUGCUGAUUUACUAUG
rnacentral:ncRNA from 1 species